GACUGGUGGAAGAUUUCUUAAACUUAGAAUGAAAUUUUCUUAAACUUGUUAGAUCCGAUGGAAGGAUCUCCGGUAGGCUCAGUGGAAGGAAUUUGAUCACAAAUGCCGUUGCAACGAAGGCCGAUACUCCUACAAGUUCCACCGACUCUAAACCUGGGUUGCUCCAUUGGCCGUCUCAGAUGCGGCUAUGCAUGCCCGUGAGGAGAUUUUUCAUGGAAAAGGAAACAUCAAAGAAGAGGCAGAGUUAACAAAAGAAGAGAGGAAAAGGAGACGGGCCAACCAGAAAAGA